CCUCUGCAGAGGAUUAAAAUUGCGAGGGCAUGUCUUCGUAUCAUCCUCAUGGAUGUUUCACAGACACUUGCCAAUAGCACAUCGUGCAGAUCUAGUCCGAUGUAAAUAAAGUAUCUACCAACCUACGCCCCCUAUAGCUACUACGUCUCUACAAAGCGUUGAAAGUUUCAAGCUUGUUUUAAAUCGCACAGAUAUAUGCAGCAGCAUGAAACUUAGCAAAACAAAAAAUUUGAUCUCUUUCUGAUUCAAGAUUCUAAUUAUUAUUUAGUCUUUCUGAAAUAAAUAUAGGACAUAUAAGGACUUUCCAAAUAAAUAUAGUUCCGAAUUAGAAUGGGUGUUCCUACUCUUAAUGAUGCAACUGAUGAUGAGCAGAUGCAGAAUGUACUUUAAACCCUCCUGUUAAUGGUUCUAUAUAGUGAGAGUGAACCACUUAUUCACACAUUUUACGAAAAGCUUGCAAAAGCUCCUUCCACUAAAAUGGCUGCAGUUUGACUAAAAGUGUGCUUUUUUUGUUGUUGCAAGAUUUGGCUAUGCACCCUGUACAAGUUAUCCACAGUAUACUUUUGCAAUGUGCAGUUACAGAGAAAAGAAGUCGGAAGCUGCGGAAAUGAUGCAGCUGGAUGGAUAUACUUUAGAUUAUGUUGAACUAGUGCUUGAUGCUGAUUGUGCAAGGAAGCAUGGCAUAGAUGAAUUUAUAUCAGCAGAUCCAUGUAAAUUUGACCAUCAUAAGCUGUUCAGAAGCUUGCAGACUAAGACUCUUGAUUAUCGGCUAAACGACCUAUACUGCUCUUUGGAACUGAAGCUGCAAAACAACAGCAGUAACAACAACCUCCUAAAGAACAUGAAUCAGAGAUGGAUCACCUGGAAAGAAGCUGGAGAUACGUUUAGCUGAAUUAUGUGUCGAUCUUUUGCAACAGAACAAUGAGAACUAUGCUGUGGUUAGUGAAAUAAUACCAAAUAGCAAGAUGAUCAGAUUGAAGAGUCAGUUGAGAGGAGAUCGCCUAUAAUCAUCAGGCUGGAGGCAGUAAGACAAGACAGUCCACCCUCUGAAAUUAAUGAAGAUGAUGAAUUGG
rnacentral:misc_RNA from 1 species